rnacentral:rRNA from 1 species
CUUGGUGACGAUAGCUGAGGGUGAACCACCCGAUUCCAUCUCGAACUCGGAAGUGAAAACCUCGUAGCGCUGAUGGUACUGCAUCUUAAGGUGUGGGAGAGUAGGUAAUUGCCAAGC